ACAACAGGGCUGUAUCAAGCUCUGUCAGUUUGGUUUAGUUUCUAUGGCUAGGUGAUUGCCUUAAUACCAACCACUUUAUAGAGUGUAUUUGGUGGGUGGCUUAGUGCCAGGUGUUAGGAAGUAUGAUCGACAGACAACAGGUGUCUUACUAUAAGGACUGGAGGUGUAUCUGGGAAGAGCAAACCCUCAAGGAGCUAUUUGUACAAAGCAUUUAAAUCUAGUUUCCAAGUCAGUUGCAAAAUGUACACAUAAAAGUAAAUUAUUUGUUGAAAACACAACAUGGUUAUAUGCAUUUUAAAAUUUUUAUUCAAAUUUAUACAUAAAUAGAAACAUUUUUACCUACAUUUCCUCUGCACCUGGCCAUGAGGACUGAAAAUGAUGGCAUACAGUCACUAACAUCCAUAUCAAUUGUUCUUCACAAGAGAAAUAACACAACUUGCAUACUAUGAAUAUUGCUUCUAGUUAAAUGAAAUCAAGAGCCAAGCUUGUACUUAAAAUUUAAGCAGUAAAUACCAAAUUGAUAAGAUAUAAAGUAUAGUGCCAGUAAUUUGAAGUGGAGACAUUUUAGAAGAAAGUGAACCAAAUAGCUAAACUAAACCAUUAACAAAGAAGAAAACAGCGGGAGGUUAAAAAGAAACCCAAGACUUGUAGAAAACACAGUUUAGAUCCUAAGUCAGAUAAAUUUUAACAUUUAUAGUGAGAAAAAAAGCUCAUGAUUUAAGACAUUUCAAUUUCUUUUUUUUAAAUAUAUUUUUUGUGAAAAGACAAAAAAAUUCAUGAAUACCUUAAUAGCAACUUAGAAAGACAUACUUGCUCGAACAAGUUGACUGCACUUUUGACUCUUGCAAAUUAGCACAACAUGACGGUUUUUUUUUUUUCAAAAUUUUUUAAAAACUAUUCUUCCCAAAUCACUUAAAUAUGAUGAAAAACAGUGGAACAGGAGUGGCCUAAGCAACUGAAACAAAGGUUUUCUGCUAAUCAACCAGUCAGUUGAACCUAAGUAAUAAACAGGAACUGUUAUAGUAGCAGAGAUAGAAGAAAUCACUUGACUGAAAACUGCACAUGAAGGAAAAUCUCAGCUAAUAAUUUAAAUAUAUAAUUAAGACAAUUUAAACUUAACCGGUAGUAAUUAAUGAAUGUUUGUUUUUUUUUUUCAAUGUAUGUGAUUGUGUGUGUGUGUGCAAUGGAAG